AUUGAACGCUGGCGGCAGGCCUAACACAUGCAAGUCGAGCGAGCGGCGGACGGGUGAGUAAUGUCUGGGAAACUGCCUGAUGGGGGGGGAUAACUACUGGAAACGGUAGCUAAUACCGCAUACCAUCAGAUCUGCCCCGAUGGGAUUAGCUAGUAGGUGGGGUACCGGCUCACCUAGGCGACGAUCCCUAGCUGGUCUGAGGGGAUGACCAGCAAACUUGGAACUGGGAAAGGGUCCAGACUCUUACGGGGGGCAGCAGUGGGGAAUAUUGCAAAAUGGGCGCAAGCCUGAUGCAGCCAGGCCGCGUGUGUGAAGAAGGCUUUCGGGUUGUAAAGCACUUUCAGCGGGGAGGCGUUACCCGCAGAAGAAGCACCGGCUAACUCCGUGCCAGCCGCCGCGGUAAUUC
rnacentral:rRNA from 1 species